UACGUAGGGGGGCUAGCGUUGUCCGGAAUCAUUGGGCGUAAAGAGCGUGUAGGCGGCCCGGUAAGUCCGCUGUGAAAGUCGGGGGCUCAACCCUCGAAUGCCGGUGGAUACUGUCGGGCUAGAGUGCGGAAGAGGCGAGUGGAAUUCCUGGUGUAGCGGUGAAAUGCGCAGAUAUCAGGAGGAACACCAAUUGCGAAGGCAGCUCGCUGGGACGUAACUGACGCUGAGACGCGAAAAGCGUGGGGAGCAAACAGG
rnacentral:rRNA from 1 species